rnacentral:lncRNA from 1 species
CCAAAGGCUUAUACCAUAAGCAUAGAUAGCAAGUAAAGUAAACAAAAUGAUUCCACCAGAUAACUGAAGUUUCAUGAUAGAUAUUGCAUGAACUCAUGCAUAAAAUAGCACACACAUUAUAGAUAACAGUUAUUCCGAUCCAUCUUCGUAUAUGUCUCAUGGUUCGAGGUAAAACUCCAUCCUGAACAGAUUUUCUGCAUUACAUCAUUCAGAUUUGGAUUUUUAAGUUAUUUCAAAAUAUCACCAAAAGUAAGUUUAGAAGAGUAUAGCCAUCGAUGUUUAUCCAGAUCACUUAGCCAUUGGUAACUGAAUUUGUAUAUAAAAAACCUACUUUUAUAUCCACAUCUAUUAUGAUGAAGAAAAAUUCAUGAAACUUGUACUUAAUAAUUUCGGUGAGCAAUAGUGAAAUUGAAUUGAAUGAUACUAUUACAAAUAAAUGACGAACCUAAUAAUAGUGAAUAAAUUUCGUAAAAUACCCCACAACGAAUAUAUGAUUGCGAAAAAAAUCCCGAAUGUCCAAUAUACAUUGUAAACUUAUGAAAAUUUUGGUUAUGUUAUAAUUCUUGGAAAAGAUUAAAACUCUUAUGAGAAAUUUAGAAGAAAACCCAUCAUGUGGAAGCUAGGCAGGAGGAGACCCACCUUCCCAUGAGGAAACUCCAUUAUCAUUUAGUUUUGGUACUCUUCUCGUAAAUCGUCGGUGAUCUAUCCAUUCCAUUGUGAAGAUGCAUCAUCUGUAAUUUGUUUCUAAGACUGACUGUUAACAAAGUAAUUGUAUAAUACUAAGUUACAAAUUAAGAUUUUUUUUUUUCCUUCUUUUUGGUUUAAAGUGUUUAGAAAUAUCAAUAAGAAAAUAAUUGAAUCAG